rnacentral:lncRNA from 1 species
UAAACAUCUGUGUACCAAAUCCACUGCAACUGACUAAAAACCAUACAGGAUUCUCAGAGUGAAGCAAACUAAACAGAAUAGUGCCAACAUCAUGUUUUAAGUUCAUAUUUGUUGACGAGCCUCUAGUCCCCUUUUUAACUGCCCUCAUGCUGGGAUAACUGCCUCCAUGGAAAUGCACAAGGAGGCAUUAGAGAACUGGAAAGUUUCACACUGCCUGAGCCUGAUGCAUUUCAUCCCAAAACACUGCAGAAAAAUAUGAAUUAAUGUCAGAACCGCUUGGGGUUAUCUUAGAGAAGUCAUGGGGUGUAAAUAAGCAUCAGAAGACGAGAAAGGAACAAAUAUAUUCAGUUUCUAAGAAUGGAAGGAACAGAUAAUCUAGGAUUUUUCUAACAUUCAGCUUACCUUCAGCUACCAAAAAAAAAAUCCUGGAAAGCACAAAGUAUUUGUGAGCAAUAAAAGAAAACAAGGCAAUAACUCAAAAGGAUUUUUCAACUGCAAAUCCUCUCACAACAAACCCAGUUCUCUUUAUGAAUGGACCUUGGGCCUGGACAGAGGGGAAACAAUAAACAGCAUCUAAAGUCACAAAAUGAGCUUUGAUACCUUCUCAUUCAAAAGGGAGAAAAGUAAUUAGUACAGAUUUGUCUCCUUGCUGAGGCAGAUCCCAGGUUUGCAAACAGGGGACACAUGACACGGUCUGAAGCUUAUGUGGUCCUCAUGUGCCUGUUUCAGAUGGCCAGGACAAAAGGAAAUAGAUAAGGUAAUAUCAAUAGGAGCAAGUGACCCACUUGGAACGAAAAAGGGGAUAAUAAGUCCAUGGGAAUGGAAUCUGAAACUUUUUUAGAAAGAACAUAACAACUGCGGACAUCAUUUUAGGACUCUGAGAUAAAUGGGAGGUCUAGAUUAAGUGGAAUGUCAAGUUCCUCAUGCACCCACAAUUUUUUUUUAAUCAACUUCCAUUAAUUCUUUUCUGUAUUUAUUUACCCAAGAGAUUAGGAAAGACUUUUUUACUCUGUUGUAAUAGGCUGCUUUAUUAGCAUCACAUCCUUACUUUAAUCACUGUCUUGCAUAUGUGGGCUCUACCUGGCUUCAGGUAAUUGCAUCUCCUGAUGACACAGCCUUGGGAAACUUGUUGUUUAAUGAGCUGAGCCCUCUCUAAAGCAUUCCCAUCCACCCCAGCCUGCAGCAACACUGUCAGUUUUGGACAGAGGGGUCCUGUGUGUGUUUGAAGGCUCUGCCUGCUGGGCUGGGGCAACUGAUGGUGGCGGAAGGACACCGUGUUCAUCAGAGGCUGAGCUCUGCUGGGAAAUGGGAUGUAAGGGUUGCUGGGGGUAGGGAAAACGGGUUUUGUUUCUCUAAUGAAGAAAGAAUUAGUGAGAAAACAGCUGACAAACAGGUUCCAGGGAAACAAGGAAUAAUUUACAAGAAUACUUUGGUCAAUAAAGACCCAGCCACUUUAUCAAACGUUUUAAUGCUGAAGGGAAACAGAUAUUAAUUUCUUGUGAAGAGGUGGUGCUUGAUAAACCUACUAGCUCCAAUUCAGAGUUUAAUUUUAGCUCUGUGUUAGAUGAUAAUUACAUGUAUUUGUGCUCGCCUUCAUGGUUUGUGCCACAAGGACUCCAAUCUCCCUGAGCUGUUAGGAGGAAAUAUCUCAGAUCUGGGAUUCUUCUUCUUAAACUGUACAAAAUGUGUGGAGGGAGGAACUGCUGCAUCCUGAGGGCUUCUGAUCUAGAGGGGGAAACACAACAAAGUUUUUUUUCAUUCCCAAAAGGGAACUUGGGAAUAUUGUAUAACAGGAAACAGGUUGGAACUUCCCUUGUAUUCUAUUUUCCUUCUGCUAAAGUCGUUCAGAGUAAUCUGUAGGGCUUUUUAUUUUUGCAACUGUUUUUAAAUAGGUAAAUUGUGAAACUCUGUGUAGCUCCACAUUACCUUUUAUCCACUUCAUUGAGUCUCAAUAUUUGAAUGUAAAUAGCUUCAGAUUUAGAAAGCUGUACUGACACUCUUUAUUUAGUUUUCAUUUACAACUGUUAAAAAUUUUAAAACCAUUCUUGUGUCAAUCCAACCUUCUCCAAACCCACCUUCCACCCCUGUUUGUAAAUAACUCAUGUGAGAGCUGGAAGAGAAAGUGCUUGCCUAAUUAUCCCUAUUUUCAACACUGUAAAUUAAGCUGUUCAUGUGAAUAGUUCCUUCAUUUAGCAAUAAGCAAAGAAUGUUAAGAACUGUGAAAUAAUACAAAUUUUGUCAGACACUGUACACAAGGUAUUGGUGGGGUAAGAACUUUUUGGAACAGUGCUUUCCACAGUGCCUUGAAAGCAAAGAAAUCCAUGUUUUUGUCACUACAGCAAAACACAGGUCUUCAAAAUCUUCCCGUCACUUUGUCUGUGUUGUUGUCAGAACUUUGUCAGGUGAUGAUUUGCAUUUCCUCUGUCCUCAGUCGGUGACAAUUUUCCAAGAGGAGGUAGUAUCAAAGCAAUCUAGAAUUAACUGAGACAAGUGACAAUUGCAUGGGUGGCACAAAAGUCUUUUACAAAUAGACAUUAUUUUAUGCAACAGACAUUAAUACAUGUUUUAAUGAAGAAGUGAUUCACAAUUAUAAUAUUAUUGACUUGUUAAGAUUAAACAGGUCUGCCAUAUGCUGUUGAGUGCUUCAGAUGGUUUCAAAUUUAUUUUUAUUUUUUUUAAUCUAUGCAUAUUAACAACAGAUGUUGAAUUUUAAAAUGAUCCAACAGUCGAGGGGAAAUCAUUC